rnacentral:rRNA from 1 species
CCUACGGGAGGCAGCAGUGAGGAAUAUUGCACAAUGGGGGCAACCCUGAAGCAGCAACGCCGCGUGAAUGAGGAAGUAUUUCGGUGUGUAAAGCUCUAUCAACAAAGAAUAGAAGAGAAGGUACCUGACAAAGAAGCCCCUGCUAACUACGUACCAGCAGCCGCGGUAAUACGUAGCGGGCAAGCGUUAUCCGGAUUUACUGGGUGUAAAGGGAGCGUAGACGGAAAGGCAAGUCAGAAGUGAAAGCCCAAGGCUCAACCAUGGGACUGCUUUUGAAACUGGCAAACUAGAGUACGGGAGAGGUAAGAGGAAUUCCUAGUGUAGCGGUGAAAUGCGUAGAUAUUAGGAGGAACACCAGUGGCGAAGGCGUCUUACUGGACCGAAACUGACGUUGAGGCUCGAAAGCGUGGGGAGCAAACAGGAUUAGAUACCCGGGUAGUC